CGCCGAAGCGUGACCGCAACAGGUGGGGGGACGGGAGUGGGGGAACUCUCCCCCUUCGAUUUGAGAGUGGCCGCUUUGAUCGGUGACACAGCUCUCACCGGAGUGGUGGGAGCCCAUGAAGGGGACACCGAUCAUCCCCAAGACAAGCAAGGAGAGGGCACGGAUUGCUCCGUCGGCCCCGGCGUCUCCAGCGCCCUUCGGAUUUGACCGUUUGCGAUGUCCUCUAACAACGCUAACGCAGCCAUUUUUAAAACAAUUUUCUUCAUCCAUUGCGCAUGCUUUUAUAGCCACCCAUAUAAUUGCAAGGUGUGUUAAUUGUUCAUUAGUGUGUCUCUGAUGUGCAAAUCACUCUGAGUCAUUGUUUUCACCUUUUUUCCCAGUUUCCCAGCGUCACCUCUAAGUGUCGCCAAAGGAACAA